UGGGGGAUAUUGCACAAUGGGCGAAAGCCUGAUGCAGCGACGCCGCGUGGGGGAUGAAGGCCUUCGGGUUGUAAACUUCUUUUGCUCUGAACAAGGCAUGCUAAUGGGUGUGUUGAGUGUAGGGGUUGAUUAGCGCCGGCUAACUACGUGCCAGCAGCCGCGGUAAUACGUAGGGCGCGAGCGUUGUCCGGAAUUAUUGGGCGUAAAGGGCUUGUAGGUGGCUGGUUGCGUCUGUCGUGAAAGCUCAUGGCUUAACUGUGGGUUUGCGGUGGGUACGGGCUGGCUUGAGUGCAGUAGGGGAGGCUGGAAUUCCUGGUAGCGGUGGAAUGCGCAGAUAUCAGGAGGAAUACCGGUGGCGAAGGCGGGUCUCUGGGCUGUUACUGACACUGAGGAGCGAAAGCAUGGGGAGCGAACAGG
rnacentral:rRNA from 1 species